UGAGAACACUAAGCCAUAUUGAUCUUCUUUCAAACCAGAUGCUGAUUCAUGCAACCCCUUGCAGAUCUUUGCUGAAGUCCUUAUGGAAAAGGGAAUAAACUUGAAAAUUCCACUCUAAUAGCAAAAACAUUUUGGAAAAUCCCAAUACUUAGAGCUUCAAAGUGCCUGGCUUGGGUUUCUGAACUCCUCCAAGUGAGAGAAGUCAAGCAGGAGGUGCUGGUCCUUCAAAUACCUGCUGGGUCUGUCGACACAGGGAAGAGCUAAGAAGAGAACCAGAUAGGCGGAAAGUUUCAGUUUUGCAAGAUGAAAAUUCUAGAGAUCUGGUACAUUACAGUAAAUCUCUCCCAGUGCUUUCCCAUUUGUGCUACUCCAGGAUGCAUUGCCUUCUGUACUGCUUCCAUGCCAGAGAACAUGGUUAACUCUCUCCUGUGUUGGAUCUCCCCUGUCCUGUACUCAGGGGUUUCCUCAUUGGUAAAGCACACACUGAAGUGGCUUCCUAAUAAAGAAAGUGAAAUGCUGCUGUUUCAUAUAUGA
rnacentral:lncRNA from 1 species